rnacentral:rRNA from 1 species
GACGAACGCUGGCGGCGUGCUUAACACAUGCAAGUCGAACGGAAAGGCCCUGCUUUUGUGGGGUGCUCGAGUGGCGAACGGGUGAGUAACACGUGAGUAACCUGCCCUUGACUUUGGGAUAACUUCAGGAAACUGGGGCUAAUACCGGAUAGGAGCUCCUGCUGCAUGGUGGGGGUUGGAAAGUUUCGGCGGUUGGGGAUGGACUCGCGGCUUAUCAGCUUGUUGGUGGGGUAGUGGCUUACCAAGGCUUUGACGGGUAGCCGGCCUGAGAGGGUGACCGGCCACAUUGGGACUGAGAGACGGCCCAGACUCCUACGGGAGGCAGCAGUGGGGAAUAUUGCACAAUGGGCGGAAGCCUGAUGCAGCAACGCCGCGUGCGGGAUGACGGCCUUCGGGUUGUAAACCGCUUUCGCCUGUGACGAAGCGUGAGUGACGGUAACGGGUAAAGAAGCACCGGCUAACUACGUG